GUGAGGAAUUUUCCGCAAUGGGCGAAAGCCUGACGGAGCAAUGCCGCGUGAAGGAUGAAGGCCUAGGGGUUGUAAACUUCUUUUCUCAGAAAAGAAUUAUGACGGUAUCUGAGGAAUAAGCAUCGGCUAACUCUGUGCCAGCGGCCGCGGUAAGACAGAGGAUGCAAGCGUUAUCCGGAAUGAUUGGGCGUAAAGCGUCUGUAGGUUGUUUAAAAAGUAUUCUGUCAAAGAUUAGGGCUUAACCCUAGAUAGGCAGAAUAAACUUUUAAGCUAGAGUUUGGUAGAGGCAGAGGGAAUUCCCGGUGGAGCGGUGAAAUGCGUAGAUAUCGGGAGGAACACCAAAGGCGAAGGCACUCUGCUGGGCCAAUACUAACACUGAGAGACGAAAGCGAGGGGAGCAAAUGGGAUUAGAAACCCCAGUAGUCC
rnacentral:rRNA from 1 species